AGUGAACGCUGGCGGUAGGCCUAACACAUGCAAGUCGAACGGCAGCACAGUAAGAGCUUGCUCUUACGGGUGGCGAGUGGCGGACGGGUGAGGAAUACAUCGGAAUCUACUUUUUCGUGGGGGAUAACGUAGGGAAACUUACGCUAAUACCGCAUACGGCCUACAGGUGAAAGCAGGGGAUCUUCGGACCUUGCGCGAUUGAAUGAGCCGAUGUCGGAUUAGCUAGUUGGCGGGGUAAAGGCCCACCAAGGCGACGAUCCGUAGCUGGUCUGAGAGGAUGAUCAGCCACACUGGAACUGAGACACGGUCCAGACUCCUACGGGAGGCAGCAGUGGGGAAUAUUGGACAAUGGGCGCAAGCCUGAUCCAGCCAUACCGCGUGGGUGAAGAAGGCCUUCGGGUUGUAAAGCCCUUUUGUUGGGAAAGAAAAGCAGCAGGUUAAUACCCCGCUGUUCUGACGGUACCCAAAGAAUAAGCACCGGCUAACUUCGUG
rnacentral:rRNA from 1 species